rnacentral:misc_RNA from 1 species
GAUGAAGAACGCAGCGAAAUGCGAUACGUAAUGUGAAUUGCAGAAUUCAGUGAAUCAUCGAAUCUUUGAACGCACAUUGCGCCCGCCAGUAUUCUGGCGGGCAUGCCUGUUCGAGCGUCAUUUCAACCCUCAGGGCCCUUUUGGACCUGGCGUUGGGGCUCGGCCGCUACCCUGCGGCCGUCCCCGAAAGAUAGUGGCGGUCUCGCUGUAGCCUCCUCUGCGUAGUAGUUACAUCUCGCACUGGAACGCGGCGCGGCCAUGCCGUUAAACACCCCACUUCUCAAGGUUGACCUCGGAUCAGGUAGGAAUACCCGCUGAACUUAAGCAUAUCAAUAAGCGGAGGA